UAGAAGAUAGUUUAACACGAAAAACCAAGAAAUUUGAAUUCUUAAUUAUAAGUUCAACUCUUAUUCUUCUAA
rnacentral:tRNA from 1 species